rnacentral:rRNA from 1 species
GGUAGCGCAAUCACUUGUCUUUUAAAUGAGGACCUGUAUGAAUGGCGGAACGAGGGCUUAACUGUCUCCUUUUUCUAGUCAAUGAAAUUGAUCUACCCGUGCAGAAGCGGGUAUACUAAUACAAGACGAGAAGACCCUUUGGAGCUUAAGAUAAAAGGCCAACUAUGUCAAAGGCCCAAGUAAAACUAAACCUAACAAAACAGUUAACUGGCCAAUAUCUUCGGUUGGGGCGACCGCGGGGGAAAACAAAGCCCCCACGUGGAAUGGGGAAUACUCCCUAAAACCAAGAGAGACAUCUCUAAGUCACAGAACAUCUGACCAAUAGAUCCGGCCAAUCAAGCCGAUCAACGGACCAAGUUACCCUAGGGAUAACAGCGCAAUCCCCUCCAAGAGUUCAUAUCGACAAGGGGGUUUACGACCUCGAUGUUGGAUCAGGACAUCCUAAUGGUGCAGCCGCUAUUAAGGGUUCGUUUGUUCAACGAUUAA